AUUCUACUCCCUCCGUUGCACAAUACAUGCCUUCUAUUUGUCAAAAUAUAUAUGUAUCUAGACAUGUCUUAGUAUAUAGGUACUUCCAUUUUUGGACAAAUGGAAGUCAAGUAUUUUGGAACGGAGGGAGUACACA
rnacentral:pre_miRNA from 1 species